AAUUCUCAACCAUGUCUUGAAUUAGGCAUGGCUUGGACUUGGGGGUUGCUGGCACACGUUGUCAAGCUCUCCUGAAAUGCAUUAGCGAUGUUCAGCAAGCCUGAACGUGCACGGCCUUUUCGACGUGAUAACGAUCGUCGUGGGCUGGAGCGUAGGGUGAGCAGUGAAUCGCUUCUAAUCUAUACCUCAGUUACUAGUCGGUCGUGAGACUGACGAACGCGCGAGGCUUGAUCUUGGACCCCAAGCCUUAGUUACUAGUCGGUCGUGAGGCCGACGAACGCGCAGGGUUAGGACCAUUUGAACUCUUGACCUCAAAUCAGGUAGGACUACCCGCUGAACUUAAGCAUAUCAAUAAGCGGAGGAAAAGAAACUAACAAGGAUUCCCCUAGUAACUGCGAGUGAAGCGGAAAAGCUCAAAUUUUGAAUCUGGCAGUCUUUGCAGGCCGUCCGAG
rnacentral:rRNA from 1 species